GUCUACGGCCAUACCACCCUGAAUGCGACCAAUCUCAUCUCAUCUCAGAAGCUAAGCAUGGUCAGGCCUGUUUAGUACUGGGAUGGGAGAAAAUGAUUGAGCUCAAUGCU
rnacentral:rRNA from 1 species